AGCAAAAUGAGGAGGUCAAUUGAUCUGAAGUAUCUAGUGUUGAUACAUCCAUUCUUUUCU
rfam:Oryza glaberrima chromosome 2 Oglab02_0343_1, whole genome shotgun sequence.